AGCGAACGCUGGCGGCAGGCUUAACACAUGCAAGUCGAGCGGGCGUAGCAAUACGUCAGCGGCAGACGGGUGAGUAACGCGUGGGAACGUACCUUUUGGUUCGGAACAACACAGGGAAACUUGUGCUAAUACCGGAUAAGCCCUUACGGGGAAAGAUUUAUCGCCGAAAGAUCGGCCCGCGUCUGAUUAGCUAGUUGGUAGGGUAAUGGCCUACCAAGGCGACGAUCAGUAGCUGGUCUGAGAGGAUGAUCAGCCACAUUGGGACUGAGACACGGCCCAAACUCCUACGGGAGGCAGCAGUGGGGAAUAUUGGACAAUGGGGGCAACCCUGAUCCAGCCAUGCCGCGUGAGUGAUGAAGGCCCUAGGGUUGUAAAGCUCUUUUGUGCGGGAAGAUAAUGACGGUACCGCAAGAAUAAGCCCCGGCUAACUUCGUGCCAGCAGCCGCAGUAA
rnacentral:rRNA from 1 species